GAUGAACGCUGGCGGCGUGCCUAAUACAUGCAAGUCGAGCGAACAGACGCUGCUCUUGCUGGUCUCACGUUAGCCGCGGACGGGUGAGUAACGCGUGUAUAACCUACCUGUCAGACUGGUAUCACUACGGAACACCGGAGCUUAUCCCAUAUGAUCUCUUGAACCACAGUGGUCGAUGGUGAGAUACGGUGUUUGUGUCUCUUCUCGAUGCUUCCGCGCUGCAUUAGCUAGUUGUUAGGGUAACGGCUUACCAAGGGAACGAUGCGUAGCCGACCUGAGAGGGUGGUCGGCCACACUGGAGCGGAGACACGGUCCAGACGCCUGCGGGAGGCACCAGUAGGGUAUGUGAGGCAACGGGCGAAAGUAUGACGGAGCAGCGGGGCGUGAGUGACGAAGGUCUCCGGAUCGUAAAACUCUGUUACGAGGGAAGAACAGAUGUGUAAGGAGCUGUGCACUGCGUGACGGUAACUAAUAAGAAAGCAACGGCUAACUACGUG
rnacentral:rRNA from 1 species